rnacentral:rRNA from 1 species
UACAUGGGGUGCAAACGUUGCUCGGAAUUAUUGGGCGUAAAGCGCGCGUAGGCGGUUACUCAAGUCGGAUGUGAAAGCCCUCGGCUUAACUGAGGAAGUGCGCCCGAAACUGAGUAGCUAGAGUACCAAAGAGGGUCGCGGAAUUCCCGGUGUAGAGGUGAAAUUCGUAGAUAUCGGGAGGAACACCGGUGGCGAAGGCGGCGACCUGGGUGGAUACUGACGCUGAGGCGCGAAAGCGUGGGGAGCAAACAGG